UGGGGAAUAUUGCACAAUGGAGGGAACUCUGAUGCACCGACGCCGCGUGAACGAAGAAGGCUUUCGAGUCGUAACGUUCUUUUAUAUGGGAAGAUAAUGACGGUACCAUAAGAAGAAGCCCCGGCUAACUACGUGCCAGCAGCCGCGGUAAUACGUAGGGGGCUAGCGUUGUCCGGAAUCACUGGGCGUAAAGGGUUCGCAGGCGGAAAUGCAAGUCAGGUGUAAAAGGCAGUAGCUUAACUACUGUAAGCAUUUGAAACUGCAUAUCUUGAGAAGAGUAGAGGUAAGUGGAAUUUUUAGUGUAGCGGUGAAAUGCGUAGAUAUUAAAAAGAAUACCGGUGGCGAAGGCGACUUACUGGGCUCAUUCUGACGCUGAGGAACGAAAGCGUGGGUAGCAAACAGG
rnacentral:rRNA from 1 species